rnacentral:rRNA from 1 species
GGGUUGUGAGGUUAAGCGACUAAGCGUACACGGUGGAUGCCCUGGCAGUCAGAGGCGAUGAAGGACGUGCUAAUCUGCGAUAAGCGUCGGUGAGGUGAUAUGAACCGUUAUAACCGGCGAUUUCCGAAUGGGGAAACCCAGUGUGUUUCGACACACUAUCAUUAACUGAAUCCAUAGGUUAAUGAGGCGAACCGGGGGAACUGAAACAUCUAAGUACCCCGAGGAAAAGAAAUCAACCGAGAUUCCCCCAGUAGCGGCGAGCGAACGGGGAGGAGCCCAGAGCCUGAAUCAGUGUGUGUGUUAGUGGAAGCGUCUGGAAAGGCGUGCGAUACAGGGUGACAGCCCCGUACACAAAAAUGCACAUAUUGUGAGCUCGAUGAGUAGGGCGGGACACGUGGUAUCCUGUCUGAAUAUGGGGGGACCAUCCUCCAAGGCUAAAUACUCCUGACUGACCGAUAGUGAACCAGUACCGUGAGGGAAAGGCGAAAAGAACCCCGGCGAGGGGAGUGAAAAAGAACCUGAAACCGUGUACGUACAAGCAGUGGGAGCCUCUUAAUGGGGUGACUGCGUACCUUUUGUAUAAUGGGUCAGCGACUUAUAUUCUGUAGCAAGGUUAACCGAAUAGGGGAGCCGAAGGGAAACCGAGUCUUAACUGGGCGUUAAGUUGCAGGGUAUAGACCCGAAACCCGGUGAUCUAGCCAUGGGCAGGUUGAAGGUUGGGUAACACUAACUGGAGGACCGAACCGACUAAUGUUGAAAAAUUAGCGGAUGACUUGUGGCUGGGGGUGAAAGGCCAAUCAAACCGGGAGAUAGCUGGUUCUCCCCGAAAGCUAUUUAGGUAGCGCCUCGUGAAUUCAUCUCCGGGGGUAGAGCACUGUUUCGGCAAGGGGGUCAUCCCGACUUACCAACCCGAUGCAAACUGCGAAUACCGGAGAAUGUUAUCACGGGAGACACACGGCGGGUGCUAACGUCCGUCGUGAAGAGGGAAACAACCCAGACCGCCAGCUAAGGUCCCAAAGUCAUGGUUAAGUGGGAAACGAUGUGGGAAGGCCCAGACAGCCAGGAUGUUGGCUUAGAAGCAGCCAUCAUUUAAAGAAAGCGUAAUAGCUCACUGGUCGAGUCGGCCUGCGCGGAAGAUGUAACGGGGCUAAACCAUGCACCGAAGCUGCGGCAGCGACACUAUGUGUUGUUGGGUAGGGGA